rnacentral:rRNA from 1 species
AACGAACGCUGGCGGCGGGUCUCAUACAUGCAAGUCGAGCGCGAAAGUCCGCAAGGAUGAGUAAAGCGGCGCACGGGUGAGUAACACGUGGAUAAUCUACCCUUUGGAUUGGAAUAACCUGUCGAAAGACGGGCUAAUGCCAAGUAAGCUCUCGGAAAUGUGAUGUUUCUGCGAGGAAAGAUGGUGCAAGCUAUCGCCGAAGGAUGAGUCUGCGUCCCAUUAGCUAGUUGGUGGGGUAAAAGCUUACCAAGGCAAUGAUGGGUACCUGGUCUGAGAGGAUGACCAGGCACACUGGAACUGAAACACGGUCCAGACUCCUACGGGAGGCAG